AUAACAAAUGUGCAACAUAAUAAGAAAUCAGGAAACGGUGCAAAUACACUUCUAAUUUGAGAAAUGGGUUAAAUUGGAAAUAAUUUUUGUUUGUUUUUUUGUUAAAACUCUAAAUUCUCCCUCUUUCUCUCCAAUUCAAAUUCAAAGCAAUUCCUUUAUUUGUGGACAUUAAUUAAUGAAAUUUGUUUGAUUUUUAUAUUAUUUUAGGUAGAUAGAUCAGUAAUUAUUUAUUAAAAGCACUAUGUCCAGGUCAUUCACUGUCAUACAGGUUCUGGUGUGUUGAUAUAUUUUGGGCAGCCAGAUGUGCCUUCUUCUCCUCCAGAAGUGUUUUUAACUUUGAGAUGUUGCUUUAAUGAUUAAAAUUUGGAACUGAAUUGGAAAAACGUGUUUCUUCAAAAGAUCAAAGUUCAACCAGUAACACAGCACUGGGUGGAGGAGAAGUGAGAGACACACUUCUUUUCUUUAGCAGUUAAUGUUGCUGUGCCCACAGUUCCUGAUAGUGGUGAAAGAUAAGUAAGUACUGAAGCAGCUGCUACUUAGACAGAGCUCCUUAAUGCCAUUUGCAAGUCAAAUUGACUUUAUAGGCUGGUUAGAGGACAAAGGAGCAUUUUCGUCUUCAGGAUGUUAUAUUGCUGAUGUGCUCUUGGAGCCGUCAGUAUCAGUUCCACAGUAAAACAUUUGCUCCUGUCGUUAUCUUAUCAAUGCAAACGUGGUCAUUUGUACUCAGUGUAAACCACAGCAGUAAGACAGGAAGCAAAUCAGAGACAUCAAUGUGUAUUCAUACACUUCCUCUCAUAAUACCCUUUGUGUGCUGUCUAUUCUUUGCUCUGCUGACUAUAUACGAUAUUUUGAAACAGAAGACACAACCAUGCAUUUCACAAUAACUACUGGAGCUACUGCAAAGUUGGAACCCAAUUCCAAAGAGCUGUGGGCAAGACAUGAUACCAGGGGAAUUCUUGAUGGAAAAGUGUGCACAGUGUGUGUUUUAGGGGUUGAGGGUACUCACUGUUCCUGCACUCAAUGCACACAGACUGACAAAAACAAUAGUUUACAAGUAAAAUUAAAUGUAGUCUCUUUAAAUUUUUGUGCCACUUGUGUAAAAAGGUAAAACAGUGGAAAGUUUUGGGUUUGCAGGAGUUGUUUUACUUCCAGAGUGCCGGCAGAUGGUUAGCAGGUGCUCCUCCUGCUGUUGGCUUAUCAAACAGAGGCAAGCUGUUAACUUAUACUCCCUCAAUGUGAGUUUGAUUAAAUUUACAUUAUUGUAGUAUUAAACAUGUUAUUAUAAGCUUCUCUUUUUAUGGCUGGAAUUUUGCACACAAACACAAUAAUUUACUUUGACCACAAACAUUUGGCCACAUAAUUGUAUUUAACCAAUUUUUUCUUUUUAUAUUUUUAAAAUCUUGUCUCUGAUGCCUGGAUUGUCUUGGAAAAUAUUACACAAGAUAUUUUAUUUGCCAACUACUCAGCUAAUGUGAUGGUGGACAGGAAGCCUGGGUGACUGGGACACAGUGGGACCCACUGAUGCACAUCCAGUAACGCAUAUAGAAGAUGAGGAUGUUUAAUUUAAAAAUUAAAUACAGAUUAAAUUUACUUAACAGUGAUACAGAGUGAGUGGAAGUUAGCUGAACUCAGUGAGCAACAUCCUGAGAAAAUCACGACUUAGCUCUAAUGUCAGUUAUUUGUUUUCAAAUCAUAUAAUAUAUUCAAAGCACUUGAAGAUAUUCUUUUUAACCAAUGUCUAAGUUAUUCCUAAGAGAUCGUUCCACCUUUUUCCUCAUCACCACAUCAUAAACUUCAUGUAAAACACUGACUAUAGCUGACACAUAUUCUCAGCACAGUCAGACAUUUAACACUAAACAGCACAAGGUGGAGGAGAAGUGAGAGUAAAACAUUUAAGUAAAAGUAUCUUAUAUUUGAAAUUACCACCAACUCUACUUCUGUGUUUGCAGUGCUGUGUUUCCUCAGUGGAUCUAGAUCAGGGGUGUCCAACUCGAAUCCUCGAGGGCCGGUGUUCUGAAACUUUUACAUUUGUCUCUGCUGCAACAGAUCUGAAUAAAAUUAAUAGGAACCUAGCUGUAUAGAACCGAGCUACAUGCCGAGGUAGCAUCCCCUAACACUACUCUAGUAAAUUAAAGUGAAGUCAAGUGUUUGGAAAAAUGUACUUUUAUUGUCACCAUGUUUAUUCACUCAUGUGCUGCUGUAACAUGAUUCAAAUGGCUGAACACCUCAGCAUGCUGUCAAGUUCUAUAGAGUCUUGCUAAUGACCUACUUAUGUUAUUUCAGGACACUAGCCCUCAAAUUUGAUGCCUUUUUUGUCACUUGUGAUCUAGAUGGUCAAAUUCUGUGUUUUCAAAUAUGUAGAGUGUCUCUGCUCUCUGUCAUAUUUUAACAUCUUUGCACUAAAAUGCUGUUAUACAAGAAUCCAUUUCAAGCCUGGGAGACCUUAGAGAAUAUGACAAACAUUGCUGUGGUUUUGUCUGCAUCUUUUUGGAGGAUCUCAAGAUUUUGUGAUCUUUUCUGAUGCCAUAAUACUUUAAAGAUGGUGUGCAUGUUUCUUCAGGAACAAAAGCUUUAAAACAGACUGAAUGUGCUGAUGUUAGAGUGAUGAUGUGUCUUCAGUCAUAUUGUUCAACAAUGUCUCCCUCAGCUGGACUGAUGAAAAAUAACAGAGAGGAAAUUAAAUGUCCCCUUCAGUCUGGGCAGAAUGAAGUGUUUAAAUAGUGUUUAAAUGAACUGGUUAAAUAUUGAUGUUGAAUUUCUUAUUGACUUUUCGUAGUGGUGUAUCCAUCCAUCUUUUUUUAUCUCUGAUUGUUCUGUUUAGGAUCAUAAGAAUGAAAUCAUUUUGACCAAUAAUUUUGUGUCACACUGUGAGCUAAAAAGUUGAGCACUUUUUUUUAAAGCACUCUUACUGUUUUGGUAGUUAGACUCCAAAACAUUGUUUGAAUUUAUGAACUUAUGAUGUGUUCAGUGCUUUGGAUCAGGUCAGCUCAGACAGGUCGAUGACGAUGUGAAAUCAUGUUUGAGAUUUCAAAUCAGUGUUUCAGAUCAUGGAUCAAGUAAAAAGUCACUACAGGCAGUUCAAGUCUGUUUGGUGCUUCAUCCCCAAGAUUUUAUCUUCAGUUAUUUUCUUGAACUGAAACUCUUAUUGUUGUAAACUGCUGUGUUGGUCUCUACUUUCUGUCGCAGGUUUGGAACCCGAUCGUAACUCUGAAGUUUACUCUGUUCUCUAUUGUGAUUAAUGCCAAUAAAAUCUAACAAUUACAAGCCUGUGUUCACUAACAGUCUAUUCAAUGCUUCUAGAAGAUAUCAUCUUUUAUUUCCUCACUGAGGAAAAUGAAUGAAGAGAGAAUAAAACAGGUUUGGUUGAGAGAGCAAGUGGAUGAAGAUGACAG
ensembl:lncRNA